AUCAGGGCUGGCCCUAGAGCCUGGCUGCUGAUUCUGCAGACAAGUGUACAGAUAUAUAGGCACAAAAUAUGCCCACAUGAAUGAAAAAGAUGGCUGCAACCUCCUCAGGUUUAUUUUGAUUGGAUGGGUAGAGCCACACCAAGGGCUCUUCAGGGCUCCCCGCUGUGCCAUGUGGUGGUCUCCGAGCUGAGUGACUACAGCCCUUCCAUGAUGUUGUAAUCUUAAUAAAGCUUCUCAACUAAUGUGAAUGGACAGGAGAUGUGAGAGAAAGCAUUUAGUUUGACAAAUGUUUCCUGAUAUCUACUGAGUACCAGGACCUGUA
rnacentral:lncRNA from 1 species